CACUUUUCAGCAGAACAUACAUGGCACUGGAUUCACAUGAGAAGAAGAGAGAAUUUACAGAACUACCAUUAUUUUACCUUCUGUCUCUACAGUGGUAUCUUGGCUGCUCUGUGAGACAUUC
rnacentral:snoRNA from 1 species